rnacentral:rRNA from 1 species
GCAUAUCAAUAAGCGGAGGAAAAGAAACCAACAGGGAUUGCCUCAGUAACGGCGAAGUGAAGCGGCAACAGCUCAAAUUUGAAAUCUGGCCUCACGGUCCGAGUUGUAAUUUGUAGAGGAUGCUUCGAGCAUGGUCUGGCCUAAGUUCCUUGGAACAGGACGUCAUAGAGGGUGAGAAUCCCGUAUGCGGCCAGGUGCCUACGCUCAUGUGAAGCUCCUUCGACGAGUCGAGUUGUUUGGGAAUGCAGCUCAAAAUGGGUGGUAAAUUUCAUCUAAAGCUAAAUAUUGGCCAGAGACCGAUAGCGCACAAGUAGAGUGAUCGAAAGAUGAAAAGCACUUUGGAAAGAGAGUUAAACAGUACGUGAAAUUGUUGAAAGGGAAGCGCUUGCAACCAGACUUGCGUGCGGCCGAUCAUCCGGUGUUCUCACCGGUGCACUCGGUCGCGCUCAGGCCAGCAUCGGUUUUGGUGGUUGGAUAAAGGCCCUAGGAAUGUAGCUUCUCUCGGGGAGUGUUAUAGCCUAGGGUGCAAUGCAGCCCACCGGGACCGAGGACCGCGCUUCGGCUAGGAUGCUGGCGUAAUGGUUGUAAGCGACCCGUCUUGAAACACGGACCAAGGAGUCUAACAUCUAUGCGAGUGUUUGGGUGUCAAACCCAUACGCGUAAUGAAAGUGAACGGAGGUGAGAACCCUUAAGGGUGCAUCAUCGACCGAUCCUGAUGUCUUCGGAUGGAUUUGAGUAAGAGCAUAGCUGUUGGGACCCGAAAGAUGGUGAACUAUGCCUGAAUAGGGUGAAGCCAGAGGAAACUCUGGUGGAGGCUCGCAGCGGUUCUGACGUGCAAAUCGAUCGUCAAAUUUGGGCAUAGGGGCGAAAGACUAAUCGAACCAUCUAGUAGCUGGUCUGCAG